GAUGAAGAACGCAGCGAAAUGCGAUACGUAAUGUGAAUUGCAAAUUCAGUGAAUCAUCGAGUCUUUGAACGCACAUUGCGCCCCCUGGUAUUCCGGGGGGCAUGCCUGUCCGAGCGUCAUUGCUGCCCUCAAGCACGGCUUGUGUGUUGGGCCCCGUCCUCCGAUCCCGGGGGACGGGCCCGAAAGGCAGCGGCGGCACCGCGUCCGGUCCUCGAGCGUAUGGGGCUUUGUCACCCGCUCUGUAGGCCUGGCCGGCGCUUGCCGAUCAACCCAAAUUUUUAUCCAGGUUGACCUCGGAUCAGGUAGGGAUACCCGCUGAACUUAAGCAUAUCAAUAAGCGGAGGA
rnacentral:misc_RNA from 1 species